rnacentral:rRNA from 1 species
GAAGGGUGCAAGCGUUACUCGGAAUUACUGGGCGUAAAGCGUGCGUAGGUGGUGAGUUAAGUCUGUCGUGAAAGCCCCGGGCUCAACCUGGGAAUGGCGAUGGAUACUGGCUCGCUAGAGUGCGGUAGAGGAGAGUGGAAUUCCCGGUGUAGCAGUGAAAUGCGUAGAGAUCGGGAGGAACAUCAGUUGCGAAGGCGGCUCUCUGGACCAGCACUGACACUGAGGCACGAAAGCGUGGGGAGCAAACAGGAUUAGAUACCCUGGUAGUCCACGCCCUAAACGAUGCGAACUGGACGUUGGGAGCAACUAGGCUCUCAGUGUCGAAGCUAAUGCGUUAAGUUCGCCGCCUGGGGAGUACGGUCGCAAGACUG